UGGAUCCUUCCAUGCCAUUCACUGCAUUUUGGAAAAGAACUUGUUCAUAAAUUGGACUUUCACAGGAGUGUGAAAAUUCUAAAAAAAAGUUUUUCCAUGGACAAGGUUGUUGUACAAUCCUGCUUUACCGCAAGUAACAUAAAGGAUUUCAAACAAACGUAUAGCUGUUAUUUGUGAUAUUUUUUAGGUAAUUUAUAAAUCAUGAAAAUUUGUAUUUAAAUUCAUACAAAUUUAAUACUAACUUUUACAUUAACCCGUGAUCAGCAAGGUAACAUCCUCUUAUGAAAUCCCCUCUGGUUACACUGAACUCUAAUAGGAUAUUGUUUUUCCUACUUCUUCUAGAGUAAAUUUAUUUUGGCAGCAAGGCAGAGCAUUAAUACAGUAGAAUUGCAAUAUCUCGAGCUGGCGAUUUCUCGAAAACUGGCGAUUACUCGAGCAUUAAAAGAAGUCCCUAGCACUUUCCUUUAAUUUCUAUAUAAAAAUACCCGCAAUAACUCAAACAUGUGAUUUUCGAUAACUCGAGGAUGUGUGACGGUCCCUGAAAGGCAUUUCACACCUUAUUAACUGGCAAUUAUUCGAGGACACUUUCUCGUCUGGUCGGUGCUAAAAAUAUUCGAGUUGUGAAAACAGCGCAAUCAAGCAGACAAAAGACGCUCGAUUAAGUGUGAAGUUAGUUGCAGUUUGAGAACCACUGCAAAGUGUCAUCCUUUGAGAAACACUGCAAAUUGCCUCCGAAGCUCUAGAUGUAGUACGCCGAUUCUUUCAAGCAACGCCUAACACAGACCGGGAACUACAGAUGCUCUGCUUGCUGUCGCGAAACGUCUACCGCCAUCAGUUCCGGGAAGCAAAUGGGUUGCGUAAAUCUUUAAUCCUAGACUUUGCGCAACAAGAGUCUGACUUAAUGAACAUAAAAUACAAAGUGUGUAGUGAUAAUGUUGUUUUUAACCAGGUUUUCCGAAGGAAAAAACUGGUUAUUAGAUUGGCGAAUGCGGGCGGGCUGGCUGGCUGGCUGGCUGGCGGGCUGGCGGAACAAGCUUGUCCGGGCCAUAACUAUGUCGUUCAUUGUCAGAUUUUAAAAUCAUUUGGCACAUUUGUUCACCAUCAUUGGACGGUGUGUCGCGCGAAAUAAUUACGUCGAUAUCUCCAAGGUCAAGGUCACACUUUGAGUUCAAAGGUCAAAAAUGGCCAUAAAUGAGCUUGUCCUGGCCAUAACUAUGUCAUUCAUUGUGAGAUUUUAAAAUCAUUUGGCACAUUUGUUCACCAUCAUGGGACGGUGUGUCGCACGAAAGAAUCACGUCAAUGUCUCCAAUGUCAAGGUCGCCACGACUAAAAAUA